CAUCAAUUCAAAAAAUAUCAGUGGCUAUCAUAUGCAAAUUUGAGAUACUAGAAGGAAGUCUCCCAACAGACAUUGCCAAUAUUCUAAAUUAUAAUGUGUUUGUAGUUGUACAAGGGAUAGAUAUGUCAGGAUUGUUGUACUUAUAACCUAGUUAAAUAUAUGAUGCAUUUACAAUUUUACAUGGGAUAGUUACUUUUAGGCAUAAUUAUGAACUGGCUAUUGUUUAUCAUUUGUAAAUUAAUCAUGACAUAUGGAGGUUUGAUUGUGUGUCAAGUUGACAAAGGGUGGGUUAUUAUGGCUAUUCUUGGUUGUCAACUAGAUUAUAACUGGAAUGAAUUACAAUCCAGUAAUGGAGGGCACACUUGUUAUCUGGACAUUGAGGCAAGAACACAGCAUACCUUUGAUUCAGAUCUUGAAGCUGGAUGAUACAUGCCUUUUCAGACCUUGAGGCUAGAAGGCAAGUCUAUAAUAUGGGCCAUACCUUCUGUUGGAUGGACAAGGGAAAAAGGAAGGGUUUGUAUGCAUUCUUUGCUUGUUUGCCCUGCCUUGUCAGCACAUCUAUUUCUUCACUGAAAUUGAAAUCUGCUUCUUUGGGAUUCCAGAACAUGCAGACCAGCUGAGACAGACAGCCUUGUAAGACUGAGCAACUCUAGAUUCCUGAACUUUCCAUUGACAACUAGACAUUGUUGGACCACAGUAUAUAAGCCCUCAUCCAGUGGCUGAUGGAAGCAGAGGCAGACAUCCACAGAUACACACUGAACUGAAAUCUGAAACCUAGUUGCAGAGAGGGAGGAAUGAAGAUCGACGGGGUUGGUACCAGGUUGGAGAAACCCACAGAAACAGCUGGCCUGAACAAGGGGGAGCACAUCGACCCCAGAUAUUGUCUGGGAGGCCAGUACAGGACUGAUCCAGACCCCUGAACAUGGGUGUCAAUGAGGAAGCCUCUGCACUCUAGGAGGCCGCUGGUAGUGGAUUAGUAUUUUUCCCUGGUGUAAGAAGGGACUUUGAGAGGGCUUCCCAAGUGAAGGGAUGCACUCUAGCCCGGACACAUGGGGAAGGGCCUAGGCCCAGCCCAGGAAGAUUUGGUGGACUUUGCGGGGCCCCAUUGUGGGCCCUACCUUGCCUGGGGAGUGGAGAGUGGAU
rnacentral:lncRNA from 1 species